GAGGUGGCCAUGAGCCGAGAUCACGCCAUUGCACUCUGUACUCCAGCCUGGGCAACAGAGUGAAAUUCCAUCUCAAAAAAAAAAAAGAGAGAGUUGGAAAACUGUUGGAGAAGCCAGAACCUGUUGGCAGAGUUUGCAGGGGUGCUACGGAGAGGGAGGUGCCCACCCCAGAGGUGAAGACGGGAUGGGUGGGGUUUUCAGCUCCACUGGACACCAAACAGAAGCUGUAAUGACAAGGCUAGUGCCUAUGUUGAGGGCUAGGCCUUUCUGGGCCCUUCAUAAACAUUGGCAAACAAAGCUUAGGUUCUCGACUUGUCUGGGCCAAGUUCUAAUUCCUUCCAGGAGCGUGGACACGUUGCUUACCUCUGAGCUGUUUCUUCUCCAGGCAGUGGUGAAGCUGGAGCCUGCUGCAUGGGAGGGUUCUGUGGAGUGAGAUGAGAUGUUUUACGUCAUGCUCUUUUCACACCUUCUUGGCACCCAGAAAGAGCUCAGCAAAUACUAGCUGCUACCAGCCACCCUGACUGUGGCUAUCAGCCAGCAUUGUUCUUCCCAGGCCCCGCCCUAUCCUCCACCUGGCAUAGGGUUUCUCAGGGCAUAGGAAACUUUCUGGGCCAGAUUGGCCAUGGGAGGCUUUCCUGGGGACCAGAGAGUCUGCAGGGAGGGCAAGUCAAGAGCAGGUGAGAGGGAGGGAAGGAUGAGCAGGACCCUUGACUUAAUUCUUGGCUGCAGUGUGUAUUGGCCUGCCUGGUGACCCUCGUUGCUCCUGGUCCCACUGCCGAACCUCUGGAGUCUGCCACAUCUCUGCAUAGACAGGGCCACCGACAGGCAGUGGCAGCCAGUUCAGUGGCACUCAGCCAGGUCUCCAGGGGUGUGCGCUUUGCUCUGGGGGCAGGGUAGUGGGGGCUGAGGCCACUGGCUGCCUUCAGGGCCCCCCGCCCCCACCAGCCAGCAGCUGACAGCUCCACCUUGGUCUUCACUUGGGCCGUCUUCCUUCUACACUUUCUCAGCUGCUGCGUGGGCAUCUUUGGCAACUUUUCCUUGUCCCACCAGUCAAGGCCCUGCUGAUUUGUUGAUGAUCAAACUGCAGUUCUUGUACCUGGGGAAGGUUUCCAGCAUCUCCAUGGAGCCGUGGUCUCUGAUUGCUGGAGCAUGUCGUGGUCGGUUCAGGCUGCUGUAACAAAGCACUGUCUGCUGGGAGGCCCACACCCAGGCCUUUACCUCUCACAGUUCUGGAGGCUGGAGAUCCAGGGCCAGGGUGCCAGCAGGGUCAGGUUCUGGUGAGGGCAGUAAGAAGCACGGCUGCCAUCCCCCUGUAUCUUCACAUGGCCUUCCUGGGAGUGGACAUGGAGAGAGAAAAGGACCUGUCUUUCUUCUUCUUAUGGGGACACUCACCCCAUCCUGUGGGUUCGUCUAUACCUACUCACCUUGCAAAGGCCCCACCUCCAGAUACCAGCCCAUUGGAGUUAGGGCCUCAGCAUGAAUUCUGAGGGGGACAGAAACUUUCAGUCUUAAUAGUGUGCUUCUUCCAGACUGGCAUUCCUGGGAAGGCCCUGGAUAGGCUGUGCCGGGGGUGGGGGGUGAUGUUGCACUGGCGACAGCUAGAGGAGGUGGCUGGCCUGAGGGGAGACCCCUGAGCAAGGAGGUGCCCCUUCUCAUGCGCACCAGCCUGACACGACCCCCUCCUCGGAAGAUGGAAGGCACAUAAUGAUGUGACCUCACAGGGCCUCAGUUUCCUUGUGUGUAGAAAUGAGGGUUAUGGUGCCUGCCUCGUAGUGUCCUGGUGAGGAGUGAGUGGUAUGAUUCACGGGAAGCUGUGACUGUCACAUUCCCACCUGCAGAGGACAUGGUGAAGGGUGACAGCCCCGUGUGAGACCCUGCAGGUCACAGUUUCAUUUAAUCCUGAGAACAUACCACCAGACAGGUCUUUCUCACUCCACCAUGUUUAAGGAAACAGAGGCUCCAAGAAACGGAGGAGCGUAGCCAGCGUCAUCGUCACGGAGAAGGGUGGGCUCGUGACAGUGAAGAUGCAGGCUGUCCUGGCCGCCCUUGCUUUCUGGGGGGCUCCUGUGGGGAUGAUGAUUUUAAUUGUUCAAGGAGACAGGUGGUGUUUCUUCCAGCUGGUCUUUCCCACCUGGGAUGUUGGGGGGCUCCCCAAGGGGAGUGUUGCCCUGCCAGCUGGGGCCUGCUGUCGCACUGCCCUGCCUUGCCCCGCAGCACACACGGGGACCCACGCCCACACAGGGUUACUUGCACCAGGACACACACAGGCCUGACACGCACAGGGACUUGCCCUUGCCUGGAAAUACACUCACAUAGAAACAUGGAGACACACAAAGUGAGACACAUGGGCACACACCUACCCAGGCCACAGGCCUGUGUGGGGUUCCAUGCACAAGGACAUGCUCAGGCGCUCACACUCACAUGAGAAUGAACACACCUGGAGACAUGAAGAUGCACAAAGGGACACACAGAGACGCAGACACAGAACACAUGGGAUCUUCCCCUGUGCCCUUCUCACACACAGGCUCCCACAGUGCCAGCAAGCCAGCUCUCCAAAGUGUGGUGCCGUCCCUGUCCUGGGCUGUUGAGGCCCUGGCCCUCUCUGUCCCGCAGCUCCAGCUGGGAGUGUUUGCCCUAGGUGAGAUGCUGAGCAUUGGGGACAGUGGUUUCUAGCCACGUGGCCUUAUGCCAGCUUUGGGAUGCAGUCAGGAUUGUGACCCCGGCCCACCCUUGCCGUGUGCCCUGGAGGAUGACUCGGGUGGGCUAUGUGGGAAGCCUGUGCUGAUUUCAAGGCCGACUGUCCUGUAUUCCAGGCCGGGGACCAAGCUGCUGAGCGCUUCUGAGAGGGACAUCUCCUCGGCAGGGAGUGACAUACGCCACACCACUUGGGCCUGCCAGCUAUGCGCUGGUGCUGUGUGGGCUGGGAGGGCAGUGGCCAGGUGACAGGGACUGCAGAGCAGGGCCUAAGAUGCUGUGACUUGCUGGGGUGCCUGUGGCUUUCGGGCUUCUCUCAGAUGAGAGUUGCACAGGUGGGUGGGGGUUUGGGGAGGCUGUGGCAGCAUCAGAAGAGUAGCCCAGAACCAGCUGAGUCCACUGUCCGAGCCUCCCAGGCCUGCAGCCCGCACCCCAGUGGGACCACAUCCUCCCCACAGUCAAGCCUGUGUCUUCUCAAUGUGGCAUGCUGGCAUGUGGGUGCUACAGGCGCCCAGUGUGACACUCACUGGCCUUGCUGAAGGCUGAGGGUGCCCCAGAGGUGAGUUGUGGGGAGCCUCUGCUGGAGAGGGAGCUGCAUUUCUGGCCCGCAGGCAGAGUGAGCCGGGUCUGCGGCUUCUGAGCUGAGCAUGGGGUGCCCUCUGCUGGUGAUGGCGAGAAGCUCAGUGCCUUUGUAUGGAGAAGCCUGCCAUCCAGACCCGCCACUGCCCCCAGAGGGAAGGCGCCUGAGACCCCUCCUCCUUGGCCAGGAGGCUGUUUGCUGUGUCCCUGCCAAGAGGGACCUCAGUGUCCUGGGACCCUACCCAGACCUGGUCCCCGCCGCAGAUGCAGCAGUUUGGGUUACCUGGCUUCAGCGCUCCAGCUCUACAUGAUGUUUCCUCCAGGAGCCAGCUGGCUGUCGUGGGCCAAGCUGCUUAUGAUGGUGACAUGAAGCCUCCACCCCGAGAGUGUCGAAGGCCUGGCCCAGGCUGUACUUGCCAGUGGGGAGCUCUGCUGCCUCCGGCCCCAGAAUCAGGGAAGUUCAGAGAGACAGAGGCUCCCGGAGAAGAACCUCAGGCGGCAGCUGACAGCAGGGCGAGGCCCCUGGUCUGACUCUAGGACCAGCCUGGCUCCUUGAGAGUACAGGGCCUCCUCACUUCUCGAGGUGGGGACAGGUGCACCGCCUGCGGGGAGACACUGGGUUUUCACACCCUCUGUUGUAUGUGCCUCCCCUGUGAGCCUUCCCUGAGACCCCGUGGGCUGGGUGCCCACUAAACACUUGGUCCCUCUCCCACGAGGUUGUGGGCUCCUGAGGGUAGAGGCCUGUGAAUGUCGCCCCUCGCUUUCUGCGCUGCCUGGAACAGAGGGUGUACCUCGCUGAAGCUCAGUUUUCUCCUUAAGGACCUGCCUAAGCCUGUUGUAGGGACUGGAUCGAAUAAUUCAGGCGAUGUGCUCGUGCACUGGUCCCAACAUGGGGAAGGCUUGCGCGACAGCCUCUCAUCCUAUCCCUGUACCGUCAGCACAGCGCCCAGCCCUGUGAGGUACCAGACAUGGGUGACUUACCUAGACAUGCCCAUUCAGCAGCCCCUUGAGCAAAAAGGACCUACCCUUGCCUUUCAGAUGCAGACCAAGAUGCAGAAAGGCACGUGGCUUAUUAGCCUAUGCCCCCUGUCCUGUGCUGCCCACCUACACUCUGCUUUAACCCUUCUCAGGCCGCAGGUAUCCAGGCAGGUGUCAGAGGUGCAGCCCCUGCACACCGGGGACCCUAUCCAUCCUGCUAGUUGGGAGGACUAGGAGUUCCAGAUGUGAGACCUCCAGUUCCUGCUGCCCUCAGAACCAGGCCCAACCCUUGCCGUGACCUUGAGGGCUGCCACUUUUCAGAGUGCACUGGGCCCAUCUCCACCCAUAGACCAUACUGCCCCAUCUUUACCUCGAGCACCAAUCUCUUCCCACCACAGGGGCCUGUGCCUGAGAUGGUCCCUCUACAGAAAUACCUGCUCCUGGCAUAGCUGGCUUGUUGCCCAUUCUGACUCUCUGCUGCCACCCUAGAGAGGCACGGCUUCCCUGUUUAAAGCAGGCUCUCCCAUCACCCAUCUUCACAGCAGACUGUUCGCUUGGCUCUGUGCCCUUCCAGACCCACAGCCGUUACCUCCCCAUCUCCCCCACCCUCCCACCC